UUUGCCUAGGCUGAGAGAACUUAUUAGGAUGAGAAAAAGAAAGGAAGAAACAAUGAGGCGGUUGAAGUGCAGAAUGAAGGUUUACAUUAAUGCUACUAGGGUAGAUCACUUGGUGAAAAUUUCAGUUCGAGGUGUAUAUAUAUGUUUGUGACCUUUGUAUACUUGGGACAGAAUUUGAGUUUUAGCAUUACAACUAAUUGUCCAUAGACACAUGAUGCAGAUUGGGCAUGAAUGUCACAUUUAAAUCGGCAUGAGUUAAGGUUCAAAAUGAAAAUUUACAGCCGCUAUAGAAUUUCUAGGAUCUUACCAAAACAAAAAAGGCUGUCCAUGCAAUCUAAGAAUGAAAAUUUCAGCUGUGAUAGAAUUUCUUGGAUCUUACCAAAGAGUUUCUGGGAUGCGAAUCUUUUCCAUUUUUAGCUUAUCCUUGAGUAAGGAAUUUUGAUGAAUUUAUAUUUACUCCUCAGUUUUUUGGUGUUUUCAGGCGAUUGGAGCUGAAUAUGGAUAAGUUUUGUAGGCUUUUAGACUUAUUGGACCUCUCAAGAUUGAUGUGGUAAGGAGUUUAUAGAGUUACACGUAUAGUCGUUGAAUUGUUCUCUAUGUUGUGUUGAAUCUAAUAUACUAGUAAUACUUUCUGCUUAGUAUUUACUAUGCACGUGCAUGUUCAUGUUAUACUAAAUGUAAACGUACACAAAUUUUCAUUUUUUCAUUGUUAAUCUACUGAUGCUAGGGAUAAUUUGGGUUUCCUGGUGAGUUCUCCCUUUUUAGGAAAGAUUGAUGGGUUUGGUUUCUGGGUUCUCUUUUAUUUGUUGGAAUUUUUUAUGAUUUUAAUUUUUGAAAUCUGGGUUUUAUUUGUUGAUUGGGAUAAAUUCUGAUCGGGGAAGCCCCUCUGCGUUUCUCGCUUCUCAUCUCUCAGAUCACUUCUCUCUCUUCUAUCCCUCCCACUGUCUCCGACUCUUGACCUUUUGCAUGUGUAUUUUAUUGUGGAAAAGUUUGAACUUGAAUGAAUAUUUUUAGUUAUUUCUGGCAACAUUGCAUAAUGGUUUGAAUGUUUGCUUGAUUUUGCACUUCCAUUUUAUACUUUUGUUCGUUUUCUGAAUGGUUGGUUCUGUUUUGUCAUAUAUUUAUACAUGCAUACAUAUAUCUGUGCUUUUAAAGGUAUGUGCGUUUGGGCACGAACACCCUCUCUUACAUAUGAGUUAUCCUUGAGCCGAUGCAUAUGAAUUAAAUUGCAGCCGAGGCAACUAUUUUGUCUCUGUCCCAAACCCCCCAACCAUGCCAGACAUGUAAAUUCAUUAUUGAAACCAGAGCCUUUCCAUGCUCGAGAGUUCCACAGGCGAAUGAGUGUGGUUGUUUGCCGUUCUCUUUGAGGGCCACUCUGUUUAGGGCUUGAAGAUUUCUACAUUCAUCAGGUUUAUCUUCGACUUCAGGUAUUUUGUUCUAUUGAUGACUUAAAGUCAAUUGCAACUACACUGUUUGUUAUGAUUGGGUAAAAUAGGCUGAUUAUUUGCAUAUUUCAUGAGAAUAUCAAUAGGGACAAUCUACCAAAUUUUUGUGUGUAAAUAGUAUGUAUAUACACAUCAAAUAUUAUUUUUUGUAUGUAAAUAAAAUUACAUACAAAAAAAUUUGUACUGUUAAGGACAGUUAGGAGUUUAAUUUGUAAAAGAUGUAAAUAUUAGAACAAUUGCAAUAGAACCGCCAAACCGUGGUUGUAAAUAGAUUUCUACAUGUAAAUAGUAUUGCAUAUUGUAUGUAUUGAGAACUUUCUGCAUAUUUUAUACAGUUUUAAAACCCGCAGCAUCGCGCUGGCACCGUUGCUAGUACAUUCUAUAUCACAAUUGAAUUUUGGCUCAAUCAAAGAAAAUAAAAUCUAACGAAGUCUUCUAACGUGUUUUUUUUUCUUUCCAACGAUAUAAUUCAUUUCAUAUAUCUUUAAUUACUUCAUAACUUAUCACCCCAACAGCUAACCACCAUCCCAACGCUUGUGUCACGCUCGCGUCGCCCAAGAACAUCAACUUUUAUUUCGAGCAGCAACACUCUCUCCUCUCUUUGCGAACAAAUCAUCAUACCCUGAAACCCUGAUUUUAUUUCUCCCGUUGUAACCCAAUCAUCUUCUCCAUCAAGAAAAUUUCCAAACAUAAACAAAAAACUCAUUUCAA